UCCGUGUUAACCACGGCAGUCUCUCUAGAGUGCCCAACUGAAUGCUGGCAACUAAAGACAAGGGUUGCGCUCGUUGCGGGACUUAACCCAACAUGUCACCACACGAGCUGACGACAGCCAUGCAGCACCUGUCUCUCGGUCGUAUUGCUACGAAUUACGCGUCUCUGCGUCGGUCCGAGGAUGUCAAACCCAGGUAAGGUUCUUCGCGUUGCUUCGAAUUAAACCACAUGAUCCACCGCUUGUGCGGGCCCCCGUCAAUUCCUUUGAGUUUUAGUCUUGCGACCGUACUUCCCAGGCGGGGUACUUAUUGCGUUAGCUCCGGCUCGGCAGGGGUCAAUACCCACCAAGCCUAGUACCCAUCGUUUACAGCAUGGACUAC
rnacentral:misc_RNA from 1 species